GAGUCCAUCUGAGGUGACACUAGUGGACUCCUGGAGACACUGAUCCGGGGAAGGCACCGCUGACUCUGGGGAAGUGGGGAAGGGAGUCCACUCAGGUGACAUAAGUGGACUCCUGGAGACACUGAUCCGGGGAAGGCACCGCUGACUCUGGGGAAGUGGGGAAGGGAGUCCUCCUGAGGUGACAUAAGUGGACUCCUGGAGACACUGAUCCGGGGAAGGCACCGCCGACCUUAGGUAAGUGGGGAAGGGAAGACAUCCGGAGCGAGCGGAUGGAUUCCUGGAUUCAUAAACUUGGGGAAGGUUGUGGUUGAGGCUGACCUUGUGUAAGUGGGGAAGGGGAGACAUCCGGAGCGAGCGGAUGGAUUCCUGGAUACAUGAACCUGGGGAAGGCAUGAAUACAUGCAGUUGAGGCUGACCUUGUGUAAGUGGGGAAGGGGAGACAUCCGGAGCGAGCGGAUGGAUUCCUGGAUACAUGAACCUGGGGAAGGCAUGAAUACGUGCAGUUGAGGCUGACCUUGGGUAAGUGGGGAAGGGGAGACAUCCGGCGGAAGACGGAUGGAUUCCUGGAUACAUGAUCCUAAGGAAAGCAAGAAUACCGCUGACUCUGAGGAAGUGGGGAAGGGAGUCCACUCAGGUGACACUAGUGGACUCCUGGAGACACUGAUCCGGGGAAGGCACCGCUGACUCUGGGGAAGUGGGGAAGGGAGUCCACUCAGGUGACAUAAGUGGACUCCUGGAGACACUGAUCCGGGGAAGGCACCGCCGACCUUAGGGAAAUGGGGAAGGGAAGACAUCCGGAGCGAGCGGAUGGAUUCCUGGAUACAUGAACUUGAGGAAGGUUGUUGUUGAGGCUGACCUUGGGUAAGUGGGGAAGGGGAGACAUCCGGAGCGAGCGGAUGGAUUCCUGGAUACAUGAACCUGAGCAAGGCAAGAA